rnacentral:misc_RNA from 1 species
AACUUUCAACAACGGAUCACUUGGCUCUCGCAACGAUGAAGAACGCAGCGAAAUGCGAUGAGUAGUGUGAAUUGCAGAAUUCAGUGAAUCAUCGAAUCUUUGAACGCACAUUGCGCUUCCUGGUAUUCCGGGGAGCAUGCCCGUUUCAGAAUCAUUAAAAUCUCAUAAAACUUGUGCAUUGUUCUUGUAAUAAUGUAUAUAACAAGUUCUUGGAUUUUGGAUGAUUUGCUAUUUAGUAAUCAUUUAAAAUUGAUUGUCUGUGCUCCAAUUACUUAUGUUUUUUGGAUGUCUAAAGUGCAACAGAUUAUAUCUAUUCUCUUUGGUAUCUAAGAAUAUACUUUGGUGCAUAUAUCCAAUGUUACUAUACAAAGACUAUGUUAUAUGCAUACUUUUUGAUAACUUGGUCUGAAAUCGGGCAAGAAAACCCGCUGAACUUAAGCAUAUCAAUAAGCGGAGGCU